GAACUGCGAUAAGUAAUGUGAAUUGCAGAAUUCAGUGAAUCAUCGAGUCUUUGAACGCACAUUGCGCCCCCUGGCAUUCCGGGGGGCAUGCCUGUCCGAGCGUCAUUGCUGCCCUUCAAGCCCGGCUUGUGUGUUGGGUCGUCGUCCCCCCCGGGGGACGGACCCGAAAGGCAGCGGCGGCACCGUGUCCGGUCCUCGAGCGUAUGGGGCUUUGUCACCCGCUCGAUUAGGACAGGCCGGGCGCCCGCCGGCGUCAAACCCCAAUCUUUCUAAGGUUGACCUCGGAUCAGGUAGGGAUACCCGCUGAACUUAAGC
rnacentral:misc_RNA from 1 species